UAUUUCCUGUUGUGCUUGUGCGUUUGUUUUGCACCGCAUGUUGUUUCCCCUGUGUUUGGGACACUUUAUUUUGUGUGCGCAUUAUUUCACUGUUUGGGGUGGCUUGUGUGUGCUCGCCUGUUUGAACCAUUAAAUAGCCACUUCCCUGUGCUCGCUGCUUCCUGCGUUUGAUUCCUCACUCACGACGCCCGAGCCUUACACACCCAAGGAUGAACCAGACUUGUGGAGGUCUACAAUUUUCUUUCUGAGGUCUUGGCUGUUUUCUUUUGAUUUUCCCAUGAUGUCAAGCAAAGACACACUGAGUUUGAAGGAUCUUGUUUGCAGACAUUCUGGUUAAACUGAUCCUGUGGGUGGAAGGCUUCUUGGCUGCCAUCUUCUUCGGCACACUGGUGGCCAUCUUGGCUUUGUGGGUUGGCAUCUCCGUGCCCCUUACCUUCGUGGGCGCCUAGCCUACUUCGGCCUCGAGGCCUGUGAUUGAGCUGCCAGUGCGAACCAACUAUAUCACUCGGCAGAUCUAUGAAAAUUGAUUAAUCACCAAGCCCGUGCCUGGAAUCGGCUUGGGGGGGCAUCCUGACCUUCGGCUGCAUCUGCAUCCAGCACUUCUUCAUCCUCAACAGCAUCUGAUAAGAACAAGGGUCAAGUCUGCUACUCAACCAUGAGCCUGAAUUUGCCUAGUGGUGCUCGUAUAAUGAUUCCUAAAGAAACAAACAAGAGGCUGCCGAGGGGAGGACGGCUUACAAUAAUAUCCGGAACGGAGUGAAUGGAAUGUCAUCAAACACAUGGAAACUAUGGAUAUGUCCGAAUACCCGUACUUGGGUUCUAAAUAGUAGCCAUUUGGGGUAUGCAAAUUGUUUUAUUUAUUAUUGUACGUGAAAUUUAACAAAUGUAGUAUGAUUUAAACGCCAAGAUGUCAUACUCAUUUAUGCUUUUAUGUAGUAGAAUUUUCUGCACACUAUUGAGGAACAGAAUUAUCUUUCCUGACACCUGUGUCUGACAACAGCUGAUAAUCAGCUGAGGGGACACGCUGUAGAAAAAUGUGUGAAUCUGUGUAAAUCAACGCAAUUGCGCAUUGUAUGAUGUAUACUCAGUAGGAUGAGCCUAGUAUGCUGAUAUUUGUUUCUUACUGCAUUUGUUUUUACUAAACAGUACAUUCUAAAUAGUGUGUAGUAUGAUUAGUACACAGUAUGUAGUUUAAGUAAGUAGUAGGCAAAACAGAUUUCGGACACAGCCCAUGUGUUUGAUGUAUUUGAUACAAUUCCACUCUUUCCGCUCCAGCCAUUACCACGAGCCCUUCCUCCCUAAUUAAAAUCAUCAUGAGUCUAUUGACGCACGCAUGCAGUCUGUUUAAGCUAGAGAUAUCUGUUUUUUGGCAUGGGCUGCAUCUCAAUCCUCCGCAUCCGCCUAUUUCAGCCUGACGCAUCUGCGGGGACAGGUGGCAGAGCUAGAGCAAUGUCUAUCAGACCAUGAGACAUCCCGUAAAUCGGGUCUUCUCACGAAAAACGCUGUAGCGUCCAAACAGUUUGACGGGAUAUGUCUGAAGGUAACCCAUACAAACGAAUGGAGGUAGUUUUGUGCCAACAAAAAUAAGGGGUUAAAUAUGUGUUUUGAAAAAAAUAUAGAUAUAUACAGCACCACUCAACAUUUUGGAC
rnacentral:lncRNA from 1 species